UUUCCGUCCGUCGAACAACAACAACAACACAUGUGAGUGAAGCUGCUGCAGAGUCGACAUGUUUCCCGGGUUGAAGGAGAAAGUCGGAGAGGUUUUGUUACCGGGAGAUGAGUUCUGCUUUCAGACCGACGACACCAUCUCUCUGACGGACCCCGGGAGACCGGAGAAGGUGGUGUGCGGACCGGGUCUGAGGCGGAGCGGAGACCGGCUGCUGGUGUGUAAAAGCGGCGUCCUCCGACACAAACAGCCCAACAUGUUCUGGAUGGAUUCCCAGCAGAGGAGGUACGUCCCGGCUAAAGGAGAGACCGUCAUCGGCAUCGUGACGGUCAAAUCAGGAGACGUCUUCAAGGUGGACUUUGGAGGAAGCGAGCAGGCGUCUCUGUCCUACCUGGCGUUCGAGGGGGCGACCAAGAGGAACCGCCCCAACGUCCAGGUGGGCGACCUGGUGUUCUCUCAGUUCAUCAUAGCCAAUAAGGACAUGGAGCCGGAGCUGGUGUGUAUGGACAGUUCGGGACGAGCCAAUGGGAUGGGAGUAUUCGGAGGAGGAGGUCUGCUCUUCAUCGUCUCUCUGGGACUCGUCAGAAGACUGCUGGCCCCCCACAGUGAGGUGCUGGCAGACCUGCAGCAGCUGUUCCCCUGUGAGCUGGUUUUGGGGAUGAACGGCCGUCUGUGGGUCCGGUCCUCCAGCAUCCAGCAGACGCUCGUCAUCGCCAACCUGCUGCAGAGCUGCGACACCAUGACGGCCCAGCAGAGACAGCAGCUGUUCAGGAGGGUGGCACAGGGGGCGCUGUAGACCACAUUGGACCACAAGCGGGCCUGAACCAGCAGAGAACAGCUGGUCUUCUGUGUGAUCAAUGUGUGGUUGUGUUGGGGGUGAGACAGGAAACACCGACCUUUGACCUUUGACCUGAGCCCCAGGUGCUCUCACCUGCCUGUUGAACUCCUCCUCGUUCUCCAUCCACAUGUACUCUGCGAACGGGUUCUCCUCCGAGUUGAACUGGUUGCUCAGGACGACCUCGUUGCUGACGGUCAUGUUGGGGGUGUUGUUGUUGUUGUUGUUGAGUCGGGGGUCUCUCAUUCUCUCUCUGAGCCGGGGUCAACAGCAGGGGCGGAUCUACAACAGGUCACAUGAUCAGCCACUCACUGGUCGCUGUGAUGGCCGCUGUCUGACAGACAAUAGCAGCCGGAUACCGACUGUGUGACCGCCGUUUGUACCUUGAACGCAGCAGAAUAACCGACUUCUACCGACAGAGGAACACGAACACGAACCUUCAGUAACAUUAGAACCACGAACCGAACUCAAACACGGACUGUGGACCGGUGAAAUACCUGAGAACCCGGACGGUUGGACGGCAGCGGACCGAGCUCUGGGACUGUCGGACUGUCAUGGCCGCGCUGCCUCUGUUUGUUUACAUAGCUGACGUCACUCUGUGCUCGCUUGUGAUUGGACAAUCAGAGUGCUGCCUUCACUGCCUGCAUGACCCAUUAAAACCAAAGGGGCCCGAGAAUCGGAAAGUAGGAGUGUUGUUUUUGUGAUUGAACGAAACAUUAGUUUUAUUGUUGUUCUCAUUAAGAAUAAGACAUUGCUGAUAUUUCACUUUUACAAGGAGACAGAUGUUAACAAUAACAUUAAGUUAUCAAGUUAUAAAAUUAAAUGUUUUAUGUUAAUUAACAAUUUAUAGUUAUAAACAAUAAGUUAUCAUAAGAGAAGAAUUCUUAUAAAAAAAUAUAGUAUAGUAUAGUAAAUGAUUUAGUUUUAUGUUUAUGUUGGAAUAAAAUAAAAAUAUAUUUUCAUAACAA